rnacentral:rRNA from 1 species
GACGAACGCUGGCGGCGUGCUUAACACAUGCAAGUCGAACGGAAAGGACCUGUUUGCAGGGUGCUCGAGUGGCGAACGGGUGAGUAACACGUGGGUGAUCUGCCCUGCACUUCGGGAUAAGUCUGGGUAACUGGGGCUAAUACAGGACAGAAGCCACUUUUAGUGGGAUGGUUGGAAAGUUUUUUCGGUGUAGGAUGAGCGCGCGGUGUAUUAGCUGGUUGGCGGGGUAACGGCUUACCAAGGAGGGGACGGGAAGCCGGCGUGAGAGGGUGGACGGCCACAUUGGGACUGAGACCCGGACCAGACUCCUACGGGAGGCAGCAGUAGGGAAUGUUCCGCAAUGGACGCAAGUCUGACGGAGCAACGCCGCGUGAGUGAAGAAGGUUUGCGGAUCGUAAACCUCUGUUGUUAGUGAAGAAUAAGUGCUAGAGUAACUGUUAGCGUCUUGACGGUAUCUAAACAGAAAGCCCCGGCUAACUACGUG